UACAGAGGAUGACAGCGUUAUCCGGAAUGAUUGGGCGUAAAGCGUCUGUAGGUGGCUUUUUAAGUCCGCCGUCAAAUCCCAGGGCUCAACUCUGGACAGGCGGUGGAAACUACCAAGCUGGAGUACGGUAGGGGCAGAGGGAAUUUCCGGUGGAGCGGUGAAAUGCGUAGAUAUCAGGAGGAACACCGAUGGCGAAGGCAGCCUUCUGGGCCAACACUGACGCUCAUGCACGAAAGCGUGGGGAGCAAACAGG
rnacentral:rRNA from 1 species